rnacentral:piRNA from 1 species
UACUACUGAAUUCCGAAGAAAAUUCUAA